rnacentral:piRNA from 1 species
CAAAAGUGGAAGAAGACUAGAAGAGA